GUUAAUGUAGCUUAAUAAAAGCAAAGCACUGAAAAUGCUUAGAUGGAUGCAAGCAUCCCAUAAACA
rnacentral:tRNA from 1 species